UAACACAUGCAAGUCGAACGGUAAGGCCCUUCGGGGUACACGAGUGGCGAACGGGUGAGUAACACGUGGGUGAUCUGCCCUGUACUUCGGGAUAAGCCCGGGAAACUGGGUCUAAUACCGGAUAUGACCGUGCCAUGCAUGUGGUGUGGUGGAAAGUUCCGGCGGUACAGGAUGGGCCCGCGGCCUAUCAGCUUGUUGGUGGGGUAAUGGCCUACCAAGGCGACGACGGGUAGCCGACCUGAGAGGGUGAUCGGCCACACUGGGACUGAGACACGGCCCAGACUCCUACGGGAGGCAGCAGUGGGGAAUAUUGCACAAUGGGCGAAAGCCUGAUGCAGCGACGCCGCGUGAGGGAUGACGGCCUUCGGGUUGUAAACCUCUUUCACCAGGGACGAAGCGUGAGUGACGGUACCUGGAGAAGAAGCACCGGCCAACUACGUGCCAGCAGCCGCGGUAAUACGUAGGGUGCGAGCGUUGUCCGGAAUUACUGGGCGUAAAGAGCUCGUAGGUGGUUUGUCGCGUCGUCUGUGGAAUCCCGCAGCUCAACUGCGGGCGUGCAGGCGAUACGGGCAUAACUUGAGUACUGCAGGGGAGACUGGAAUUCCUGGUGUAGCGGUGAAAUGCGCAGAUAUCAGGAGGAACACCGGUGGCGAAGGCGGGUCUCUGGGCAGUAACUGACGCUGAGGAGCG
rnacentral:rRNA from 1 species